rnacentral:rRNA from 1 species
UAGAUUGCUGGGGGAAUCGUCUGAACAAGGCCUGCGCUUAAUUGCGCGGCCAAUUCUUGAUUCUCUGCUAUCAGUUUUCUAUUUCUCAUCCUAAACACAAUGGAGUUUUUUCUCUAUGAACUACUUCCCUGGAGAGCUCGUCUCUCCAGUGGACAUAAACACAAACAAUAUUUUGUAUUAUGAAAAACUAUUAUACUAUAAAAUUUAAUAUUCAAAACUUUCAACAACGGAUCUCUUGGUUCUCGCAUCGAUGAAGAACGCAGCGAAUUGCGAUAUGUAUUGUGAAUUGCAGAUUUUCGUGAAUCAUCAAAUCUUUGAACGCACAUUGCGCCCUCUGGUAUUCCAGGGGGCAUGCCUGUUUGAGCGUCAUUUCUCUCUCAAACCUUUGGGUUUGGUAGUGAGUGAUACUCGUCUCGGGUUAACUUGAAAGUGGCUAGCCGUUGCCAUCUGCGUGAGCAGGGCUGCGUGUCAAGUCUAUGGACUCGACUCUUGCACAUCUACGUCUUAGGUUUGCGCCAAUUCGUGGUAAGCUUGGGUCAUAGAGACUCAUAGGUGUUAUAAAGACCCGCUGGUGUUUGUCUCCUUGAGGCAUACGGCUUUAACCAAAACUCUCAAAGUUUGACCUCAAAUCAG